CCAGGUAGCUCAGUUGGUAGAGCAGCGGACUGAAAAUCCGCGUGUCGGCGGUUCGAUUCCGUCCCUGGCC
rnacentral:tRNA from 1 species